rnacentral:rRNA from 1 species
UACGUAGGGGGCUAGCGUUGUCCGGAAUCAUUGGGCGUAAAGAGCGUGUAGGCGGCUCGGUAAGUCCGCUGUGAAAGUCCAGGGCUCAACCCUGGAAUGCCAGUGGAAACUGUUGAGCUAGAGUCCGGAAGAGGCGAGUGGAAUUCCUGGUGUAGCGGUGAAAAUGCGCAGAUAUCAGGAGGAACACCAAUGGCGAAGGCAGCUCGCUGGGACGGUACUGACGCUGAGACGCGAAAGCGUGGGGAGCAAACAGG